GACGAACGCUGGCGGCGUGCUUAACACAUGCAAGUCGAACGGAAAGGCCCUGCUUUUGUGGGGUGCUCGAGUGGCGAAAGGGUGAGUAUCACGUGAGUAACCUGCCCUUGACUUUGGGAUAACUUCAGGAAACUGGGACUAAUACCGGAUAUGAACUCCUGCUGCAUGGUGGGUGUUGGAAAGUUUCGGCGGUUGGGGAUGGACUCGCGGCUUAUCAGCUUGUUGGUGGGGUAGUGGCUUACCAAGGCUUUGACGGGUAGCCGGCCUGAGAGGGUGACCGGCCACAUUGGGACUGAGAUACGGCCCAGACUCAUACGGGAGGAAGCAGUGGGGAAUAUUGCAAAAUGGGCGGAAGCCUGAUGCAGCAACGCCGCGUGCGGGAUGACGGCCUUCGGGUUGUAAACCGCUUUCGCCUGUGACGAAGCGUGAGUGACGGUAAUGGGUAAAGAAGCACCGGCUAACUACGUG
rnacentral:rRNA from 1 species